rnacentral:lncRNA from 12 species
UACUUAAAACCAUGGAAGCCUAACAAACAGAGACAGAAUUUUUGUGGGGAGUUCCAGAACUCCGGUAAUCACCAGACUCCCAGUGUCCUAGUGAAUGAACUAUGGAGAGGAUGGAGGGAUACUUUCAGGAUUCUGGUGUCACACAUUCUAUAUGAAAAGUGGUUGUAUAUUGCACUCCACUUUACAAAUGAAAUAAAACACUGGAAGAAGACAUACAUAAGAGAAAAAGCAUUGCUCUCAGCUUUUACGCUGCUUCCUACUUUAUUUGGGACUCUGUCCUCUACCCAGACAUCGGUCAUUUGAGAUCCGUGCCAGCUAAGAAAAGAAUCCAUGCCUACCAGUACUUCAUCUAAAUGGGAAUGCAGCCAAAAGAGCUUCUUAAAAACAGAGGCAGUUGUCCCUGAAACUAAUAAUAUGUUAUACGUUACAUAAAUUGAAUUAAAACAAAAC